AUGACACUCCAUUCUUUCCUCUCAAGGGUGACCACAGAAGUAAACGAGCCCAGGGCUACACUGGAUCCAUGCCUGUCACCUCCACCAGCAGCCCAGUACCCUUCAAGGUACAGAGUGAAAAGAGACUAUUCUCAGAAAGAGAGACUUAGAAGAUCUAAUGAAGGUCCAGUGGGGAAUACAUUUGGGAAGGCGCUCCAAACUUGGCUCUGGAGGCUCCUCUGGCAGGGGGAGGCCACCUCUCAGCUGCCCACACCUUCUGGAGUCCAAAUCUCAGGCCAGAGAUGGGCUGGCCUCCCAAGCUUGGGCUGUGGAAUCACCACCUGGGUGCCGGCUGGGUUCCAGGCCAGCCAAGCUGAGACAGGACAGGUCCUUGUAGCCCAGGCUGGUGCGUGGCUGAGUAGCUGGGUUAUUAGUUACACCAAAGACUUUCAGCUGGCCAGGCAGAAGGGCUCCAUGCGCCGAAACCAACGCAGGAGGAAGAAGGCAACAAGUGAUAUUGCUGGAGUAAGAAGAUUUGGAUGAGAAUUUUGAAACUUCUAAUAAUUUGCUGUUACCUGGGUCUUAUUAUUAACCUUCCCGACUCCCAGCUGUGUGAAGAUUGGGGCAUGAUAAGCUCUCCUCAUUUGUUUUACAAGAUUGUCAUGAGGAUAAAGUUAAACAGUAAGUGUGCAAGUGCUUUUCCAAUAUGCAUAGUAUUUUCAAGGAUACUAUUUAUUGUUAAAUGCAUUUAUAUCAUGUUUGAACUUGUUGCAAAAUUAAAAACUAUUUAAGGCAAAUUUGAAGUUACAGUUUCCUUGUGAAAUAUGUCUAGACUCAUCUGGUUCUUUUUCCUAUUUCUUUAAAAACUAUAUUUUACAACAGUUUUAUGUUCACAGAAACAUGUAACAGAAGGAACAGAGGGGCUGCUUCUAUUUUUAAUAUUAAACUGGAGUAUGACAAAAGUUCUACUAACUUAUUGAUCCCUUUUUAAAAAGUUGUUCCUUUGCUGCUGCUACUGCUGCUGUCGCCUCAAUCGUGUCCGACUCUGUGCGACCCCAUAGACGGCAGCCCACCAGGCUCCCCCGUU
rnacentral:lncRNA from 1 species